GUACUGCCGAAGAGUCCCAAGCACUAGGACGAAACAUCUUUCCAGUAC
rfam:Trichobilharzia regenti genome assembly, scaffold: TRE_scaffold0002441